rnacentral:rRNA from 1 species
ACGUAGGAGGCGAGCGUUGUCCGGAAUUACUGGGUAUAAAGGGUCCGCAGGCGGAUUGAUAAGUGGAUGGUGAAAUCCAUCAGCUUAACUGUAGUGAUGCUGUCGAUACUGUUGAUCUUGAAUACAGGAGAGGAUAACGGAAUUCCAGGUGUAGCGGUGAAAUGCGUAGAUAUCAGGAGGAACACCGGUGGCGAAGGCUGUUUCCUGGCCUGUAAUUGACGCUCAGGGACGAAAGCGUGGGGAUCAAACAG